UGGGAAUUGAACCCAGGUCCUCUGGAAGGGCAGCCAGUGCUCUGAACCACUGAGCCAUCUCUCCAGCCCCCUGCUUUCUUUAGAGUCCCUCUAGGUAGAACAGUACAGCAUUGCUUUCCUGUGCUUUUAACUCCAGCACCGAUGGUCUGUUUUUUUAAUUGCUAUGACUUUAAUGCUAUGUGUGAGUAUAUUCCUAUUCCUUUGAACUGCAUGUAGCAUCCUGAGGCAGACAGGUCACAGUGUCUACAGCCAUUCUCCUGGGAUUUAUAAUUAGGUGGCUUCCCCUUGGUUGGUUGUUUCAUGAUACUGUAAACAAAUACUCCAUUUUUAUAUCGGCCUCCGUGCGCCUAUAUAAGCAUUUCUUUCUCUAAGAGAUAAUUCCUUCUAGCCUUUGGGUCUCCAGGUCACACAAAAGCAGUUUGAAUUUAGCUCUAAGCCUAAGAGAAUCUAGUAAGUUGUCUCAAAGUUGAAGAGCCAGGGAGAAUUACGCUUUAAUCUUUGAAAAACAUCAGUCCAUUUCCCAGCUACAUAGGAUGACUAUGACCUCUCCGUUAUACAUGGAAUCCAGAAAAUGAUGACAGCAUUUAAAUAAUUCUCUGUUUUGUAGUUUGUAGGUUAGAUAUACACUUCAGGUAUAAAAUGGAAUCAUUUUAUAUUUGAAAUUUUUUUGUACUAUAUAAUUUUUGUAUAUGAUAAUCUAUGUAAACCAAGACUUCUAGAAUAACACACAGAGACAUUCCGUAAGAAUAUUGUCUUCUCUCUUACUGAGUGCUUAAUGCAUGAGAGGAGAGGGGAGAGACAAAAGGGGUAAUGUCCAAAUUAAGCAGCCAAUCAGCUCCCACGGUCACUUCUGACAUGCAGUGUCUACACUGGCAGCUUCAGGAUCAAUCCACUUGCAAAUCCUUUGAGCAGCUGUUUGCAGGCCACCAACUAAUGAAGCUCUUUGAGGGCUCCGUUAUUAAUGGGAUGGGGCCCGAGCGGGGUAAAGGAAGAAAGAGUGGACUGAAGGAGAGAGCUGGAAGAGCCGCCUCCCUUUCCCUCGCCACUUGUGGAAAUCCAUUUCGGCUCAACUGGGACCAAUUGUGAGUCUUGGCCUUGGGCAAAAUUCCUAUUUGCAGUCAAUAAAUUAAUGGGUGACACCUUGAAAAGCGUUGGCUAACCGAAUCAAUGUCUGAUGUGGCAUUCUAUCCUCAGGCCAAAUUCCCAGUGAGCUUCUUAGGUUGGAGCUGAUUGAAGCGAUGGAAGGACCCUUGAACUCUGUUUUAUUUUAACUCUGUUUUGAAAGGCAAUAUUCAGGCAGGAGAGAGGCCCCUGCCCUCUCGUGUUCCUGUUCUCGCUUCCCCUUCUCCUCUAACAGGCCGAGGACUGACUGACAUUAACCGAUCUCCUUUGGACAGAGCUUGACAAUGUAUGGAGCUCUUUGUCUGCUGACGGUAGUUUCGUGUUUCCUCUGAAAAGCUUGUCCAGAAAUCCAGGGGUGACUCUUUCCACACAGUAGCUAGCUCCUCUUCAAACCUCUGGACAGCAGGAAGCCGAGAGGGGCGCUCUGUUGGUUCAGCUGGGUUUUACAGCUGAAGAUAACAUGAACCGCAAAUCUACCAGGGCUCAUGUUUUCUCGGAGGGGGGAGGAAAAUUCAGGGAGCAAAAUCAAGAGAAGUCGAGGUCUAAUGUUUCAUAACUGUGUGCUCUUUUCCAGGUUUUAUUCCUGUAAUAGUCUCUGUGUGUGGCCAGGCCCUUCGCAACACAGAGCUAUUGAAGAAAAGGGAGAGGAAGGAGGGGAAGGGAGGGAGGGUGGAGGAAUGGAUAAAAAAAAAAAAAAAUGAGCCUAUGGGGUACGGUAGGAGGGAGAGAACUGCUUUCAAGUCCUGACCGUGACCUUAACUGGAUGUAGCCAGGCCUCUGGGGGAAUUAAGCUGGCCAUUUGAUUUUGAAAAUAGAAUAGGGGACCAGUACGCACAGAGAAUUGAUAGCGAAGCCAGAAGAGGGAAGUGACCCACUUAGUGUCUCCUCUGGAAAAAGUGGGUUCUUGAGGCAACAGAAGGGGUUGGGUGGGGAGCUCCCCUUUCCCUGACAGUGUGCACCGGGGUGGGGGUGGGGCCGCUAGGGGAGCAAAUCUGAUGGGAAAGGUAGUAGAUAGCAUUACAGUAUUAUCUUUGUAUGUGUUUUGGAGGAUUAAAAAAAUAGAGGGAAAUUUUCAUUUUGAUUUGGGGGCGGGGGGGGGGCACGGCGUUUGUGUAUCCACAUUAUAUAUGCAGCCCUGUUCCCACCGCAGACUGAACUUGCUGCUGGAGAGAAGACUACUUUGUUUUCGGGUCGUCCAAGCAAUUUCCUGCCUUGGAGCAAGACCCAGUGCAGCUACUGAGCCCUGACAAUAUCCCCAGGCCUCUGAGCAGCCUAAUUUUAAUGAAGGAGCACCGCUCUUUGUGAAGGAGCACCGCUCUUUGUGAAGGAGCAUCCCUCUUUGAGGGACUCAGAAAAACACAAAUGGCCAAAUCUUAUCUCUUUCUUCCCGAAUACACCUUUCUCUCCAGUGAGAGGCCACAGCUGAGGGAUCUGAAUGGAACUACAGAAGAUGACCGUCAUCUUGAUCUCUGGGAAGCCAGACAUCAUCCCAACAGCACAUGGUAUUUCUUAGGCACACAGUACUGGAGCUGAGGAGAUCUCGGAUGUUAUGAAAUACAGUCCCUUCAUUUACUAGUUGGCUAGGGUGAAGGGCGUAUUCAAGCUGAGUCUGGGCUCUUGCUCUCCAGAGUAAGGAUUUCAGAAAACGAGUUAGCGCUGAGGUGACCCAAGCCGACGCUCUCUCCCAAGGCUAUCUCUCCCCUGAGCCCUUCAGAGCCUGGAGAUGGACUAAAUGGCCCCAGGGACUGGGGCAGCUUCACCAGCAUCGGGAGCUGGUGGCACUGGGGCUUGGGGUGUGGAAUGUGGUAGCGUUUGUCUAGCAUGCAUGAAGGCUUGGGGAUGCAUGCCUGGACUCAGCACUCUGGAGGGGAAGGCAGGAGGACCGAAGUUCAAGGUCAUUCUCAGUGACAUAGAGAGUUUGAGACCAGGUGCUACCAACACUGUGCCUCAAAGGAUGUAAGAAAGGAAAACUCAAAUAUCAGACCAAGUCUAGUGGCUGCGCUAGCAACCUUUCUAAAGUCCCGAGCGGAGCCUUUUGUGACGCCAGGGCCGGGAAACCCCUUGUCUCACAAGUUCAAAUGGGCGUGUUGGUUUCUGACAUGCUGUCACAUUUGUGUGACACAUUUGUGCUUCUGUCAUGUGCGUCGGGCUAGGGACAUACUCCAGGAUCUGACUUUCUGUGUGAAAUGGCAUUCAGUGUUCAGUAUUUUUACGGAGUCUGUUUCCACACACACACUCAGUCCACAAAGCUGGAAAUGGUCUAAGUUAAAAAGGCUUCACUACUCCUAACCUAGGGAGCAUGGCGGGGGGAUGGUAGAUGUUUCCCCGAGUGGCUUUAGCCGUCUUCCCAAUCCCACUUCCCAAUCCCAAGACAACAUCCUGCUACUUAUCGCCAGCCGGGAAAAGCUCGAUGUUCAACAUGCAAAGUAGUGUCUACCGUGCUCCACCCUCCAGUCAAAAACUUCCGUUUAGAGAGCAGUGGGAGAGAAAAAUUUUUUAAGGAAAAAAACAAAAAACUCCUAUGAACAUCAAGACUGAGAAUAUAAGCUCUCUUUUAUCUUUUAAAA